AUACUGCUGAGGAGUCCCAUAAUAGGACGAAACGACCGUUCAGUGC
rnacentral:hammerhead_ribozyme from 1 species